rnacentral:rRNA from 1 species
CGAAAGCCUGACCCAGCAACGCCGCGUGAAGGAUGAAGUCUCUCGGGAUGUAAACUUCGUAAGAAUAGGAAGAAUAAAUGACGGUACUAUUUGUAAGGUCCGGCUAACUACAUGCCAGCAGCCGCGGUAAUACGUAGGGACCAAGCGUUGUUCGGAUUUACUGGGCGUAAAGGGCGCGUAGGCGGCGUGUCAAGUCAAUUGUGAAAUCUCCGAGCUUAACUCGGAACGGUCAAUUGAUACUGAUGUGCUAGAGUGCAGAAGGGGCAAUCGGAAUUCUUGGUGUAGCGGUGAAAUGCGUAGAUAUCAAGAGGAACACCUGAGGUGAAGACGGGUUGCUGGGCUGACACUGACGCUGAGGCGCGAAAGCUAG